UAUGGUGCAAGCGUUAUCCGGAUUUACUGGGCGUAAAGGGAGCGCAGGCGGCACGCCAAGUCUGAUGUGAAACCCCGGGGCUCAACCCCGGGCUUGCAUUGGAAACUGGCGGGCUGGAGUGCCGGAGAGGUAAGCGGAAUUCCUAGUGUAGCGGUGAAAUGCGUAGAUAUUAGGAGGAACACCAGUGGCGAAGGCGGCUUACUGGACGGCAACUGACGCUGAGGCUCGAAAGCGUGGGGAGCAAA
rnacentral:rRNA from 1 species